rnacentral:rRNA from 1 species
AUACGUAGGGGGCGAGCGUUGUCCGGAAUGAUUGGGCGUAAAGGGCGCGUAGGCGGCGCGGUAAGUCUGGAGUGAAAGUCCUGCUUUCAAGGUGGGAAUUGCUUUGGAUACUGCCGCGCUUGAGUGCAGGAGAGGUUAUCGGAAUUCCCGGUGUAGCGGUGAAAUGCGUAGAGAUCGGGAGGAACACCAGUGGCGAAGGCGGGUAACUGGACUGCAACUGACGCUGAGGCACGAAAGCGUGGGGAUCAAACAGGAUUAGAUACCCUGGUAGUCCACGCAGUAAACGAUGAUGGCUAACCGCUGGGCUUAUCAGUUCAGUGGCCAAGCGAAAGCGAUAAGCCAUCCACCUGGGGAGUACGACCGCAAGGUUGAAACUCAAAUGAAUUGACGGGG